ensembl:snRNA U6 U6 spliceosomal RNA
CUUGUGAACACUUUGACAACACAUAGUUGAAAUUUGAAUGAUGUAGAGAUUAUCAUGGCCCCCAAACAAGAAUGACAUGCAAAUUUGUGAAGUGGUCCAUAGCAAA